rnacentral:rRNA from 1 species
UUAUCUGCCCAGUGAAAACUUCAACGGCCGCAGUACCUUGACUGUGCAAAGGUAGCAUAAUCACUUGACUUUUAAUUGGAGCCUGGAAUGAAUGAAAUAACGUAGACAGCUUGUCUCAUUAAUAGCACUCUUAAAUUGCUAUAGGAGUGAAAAUACUCUUUAAUUUAAAAAUAGACGAGAAGACCCUUAGAAUUUUGAAAAUGUAAAAGGUUUUUCUUUUAAAAUUUUUUGUUGGGGCAACAAUAUUUCAUGUAAUAAAUAUUAUAUAGAAUGAUGGGUCGAUUUAAUAAUUACAGUUAAAUUACCUAAGGGAUAACAGCAUAAUUUUAUUAAUAAGCUUGUGACCUCGAUGUUGGACUAGGUACUAUUAAGGCUAAUCGUUUUAA